rnacentral:rRNA from 1 species
GUCCACGCCCUAAACGAUGACGACUAGUUGUUGGGGGAGUUAAAUCCCUUAGUAACGCAGCUAACGCGUGAAGUCGUCCGCCUGGGGAGUACGGUCGCAAGAUUAAAACUCAAAGGAAUUGACGGGGGCCCGCACAAGCGGUGGAUGAUGUGGUUUAAUUCGAUGCAACGCGAAAAACCUUACCUACCCUUGACAUGUCAGGAAUCCUCCAGAAACGGGGGAGUGCCCGAAAGGGAGCCUGAACACAGGUGCUGCAUGGCUGUCGU